UACCAGCACCCCGAGUGGUCGGGACGUUUUAUUGGGCCUAAAGCAUCCGUAGCCGGUUCUACAAGUCUUCCGUUAAAUCCACCUGCUCAACAGAUGGGCUGCGGAAGAUACUAUGGAGCUAGGAGGCGGGAGAGGCAAGCGGUACUCGAUGGGUAGGGGUAAAAAUCCGUUGAUCCAUUGAAGACCACCAGUGGCGAAGGCGGCUUGCCAGAACGCGCUCGACGGUGAGGGAUGAAAGCUGGGGGAGCAAACCGGG
rnacentral:rRNA from 1 species